ensembl:lncRNA
GCUUAAUUGUCCUCACUCUCUCUGCUGGAAUGCAAAUAGCCCUCGAAACUGGCCUCCACUGCGAGGUGAGCCGAAAGUGGAGAAACCAAGGUCCCGCUUAUUGUGGCGAGUCGGUAAAAACACAUAAUAAAAGCCAAAAAUCACAUCCAGGCUACUUUCAGUCCUGGCUGUCAGAGCUGCAUCAGACAGUAGAUUUCCAUUCUCCAAACUUUAUGCUGUCUCCCCUUUGUUUUUGUCCAAUACAGCAACAUUUCAUAAUCACUUCAAUGCCACUGCCGCUCGUCACACAGAGCCCAAACAGACAGGCAGGUGAAGGGUCACGAUGAGUCACAGAGAAUCGGUGAGGGAUGAAAAGAGUUAAAUGCUGGGGCGUAUGUAUCCUGUCUGUCUUUGAUCUCUGCCUCAGGUAGCUCUUUCACAGCCAUCACUCUUAGCCAGGAGCUGAUGGAAGGCUGCUCCCUGUGAGGACGGACUUGCUCAGACUGAGACUGUCUCCUUGCCGUGACAGAGGAAUGGCAUGACAUGUCAGGCAUCUAAACAAAAACUACACGCAAACAAAACCCUCAGUGGAUUUCUGUGUUUAUCUUUCUACUUGAUUUGAUUGUGUUCUCCUUUUUAGAACUUUUUUCCCUUUUUUUUUUUAAUUAUCAAAUUAAACCGGUGGUAUAAGGAUGCAGGGAGGGAGGGAGCGGAGAAGGCGUGUUUUGGUGAGGUUCAAAGAUAAAACGAGACAGUCUCGAAGGCUUUGAUGUUUCUUGGCAGGCUUUAGGCGGCCACUGACAAUCUGAUGAUCUGGGAGCGCAGGCCUUUUUUUUUUUUUUUGAGACCGUGCCCCAUCCUGGCCCCAGUCGUCUAGCCCUGCAGUUACAAACGCUUUAAUGUGACAAGGUUAAACACCUGAAGUACUGCAGCAAAAUGUCACAAUGAAACCAAGGUCAGGGGAGCAACUUUAAUCUUGGGAUAGCUUUCUAGUUGAACAGUCUGCUCGUUUAUUUAUGACAGUUUAAAGCAUAAAGAGUCCUCUUCAUUCGUCAAUUUAUUCUCAAGGAAAAUCAUCAGUGUCAAAUCUGCUUUAAUCAAUAUCUUCAUAUUGAGACUUGAUCAUCACAGGACUACUGAACUGAACUGAAGGGUGCUGCCUGCUUGUUGUGACAACCCUACGGAGAAUUAUC